rnacentral:rRNA from 1 species
AGUGAACGCUGGCGGUAGGCCUAACACAUGCAAGUCGAACGGCAGCACAGUAAGAGCUUGCUCUUCCGGGUGGCGAGUGGCGGACGGGUGAGGAAUACAUCGGUAUCUACUUUUUCGUGGGGGAUAACGUAGGGACACUUACGCUAAUACCGCAUACGACCUACGGGUGAAAGCAGGGGAUCUUCGGACCUUGCGCGAUUGAAUGAGCCGAUGUCGGAUUAGCUAGUUGGCGGGGUAAAGGCCCACCAAGGCGACGAUCCGUAGCUGGUCUGAGAGGAUGAUCAGCCACACUGGAACUGAGACACGGUCCAGACUCCUACGGGAGGCAGCAGUGGGGAAUAUUGGACAAUGGGCGCAAGCCUGAUCCAGCCAUACCGCGUGUGUGAAGAAGGCCUUCGGGUUGUAAAGCCCUUUUGUUGGGAAAGAAAAGCAGCAGGUUAAUACCCCGCUGUUCUGGCGGUACCCAAAGAAUAAGCACCGGCUAACUUCGUG